rnacentral:misc_RNA from 1 species
AAGUCGUAACAAGGUUUCCGUAGGUGAACCUGCGGAAGGAUCAUUAAUGAAAUUCAAGGACGCUCUUUUUAGAGGUCCGACCAACUUCAUUUUCCAACACUGUGAAUCUACUACUUUUUUACACCCACUUUUAAAACACAAAAAGUCUAUAAGAAUGUGAAAGUCUCUUAAUUGAGCAUAAAUCAAUUAUAAAACUUUCGGCAACGGAUCUCUUGGCUCCC